rnacentral:rRNA from 1 species
GAGGAAUAUUGGUCAAUGGACGAAAGUCUGAACCAGCCAAGUAGCGUGCAGGAUGACGGCCCUCUGGGUUGUAAACUGCUUUUAGUUGGGAAUAAAAAAGAGGACGUGUCCUCUAUUGUAUGUACCUUCAGAAAAAGGACCGGCUAAUUCCGUGCCAGCAGCCGCGGUAAUACGGAAGGUCCAGGCGUUAUCCGGAUUUAUUGGGUUUAAAGGGAGCGUAGGCGGAUUAUUAAGUCAGUGGUGAAAGACGGUGGCUCAACCAUCGUUAGCCAUUGAAACUGGUAGUCUUGAGUGCAGACAGGGAUGCUGGAACUCGCGGUGUAGCGGUGAAAUGCUUAGAUAUCACGAUGAACUCCGAUCGCGAAGGCAGGUGUCCGGGCUGCAACUGACGCUGAGGCUCGAAAGUGUGGGUAUCAAACAGGAUUAGAUACCCUGGUAGUCCACACAGUAAACGAUGUAUACUCGCGGUUUGCGAUAUACUGUAAGCCGCCAAGCGAAAGCAUUAAGUAUACCACCUGGGGAGUACGCCGGCAACGGUG